CCCUUAGAUGUUCUGGGCCGCACGCGCGCUACACUGAUGCAUUCAACAAGCCUAGCCUUGACCGAGAGGUCCGGGUAAUCUUUGAAACUGCAUCGUGAUGGGGCUAGAUUAUUGCAAUUAUUAAUCUUCAACGAGGAAUGCCUAGUAAGCGUGAUUCAUCAAAUCGCGUUGAUUACGUCCCUGCCCUUGUACACACCGCCCGUCGCUCCUACCGAUUGAAUGUGUUGGUGAGGAGCUCGGAUUGGCAGCAGUUGGUGGUUCGCCACCGGCUAUUGCUGAGAAGUCCUCCAAACCGCCCCAUUUAGAGGAAGGAGAAGUCGUAACA
rnacentral:rRNA from 1 species